rnacentral:rRNA from 1 species
UACGUAGGUGGCAAGCGUUGUCCGGAUUUACUGGGCGUAAAGAGCGCGCAGGCGGUCGUUCAAGUCGCGUGUGAAAGCCCCCGGCUCAACUGGGGAGGGUCACGCGAUACUGAUCGACUGGAAGGCAGGAGAGGGUAGUGGAAUUCCCGGUGUAGUGGUGAAAUGCGCAGAUAUCAGGAGGAACACCUAUUGCGAAGGCAGCUCGCUGGGACGUCACUGACGCUGAGACGCGAAAGCGUGGGGAGCAAACAGG